CAGCAUUUGCUACGUCCAGGCACUGUUCUAAGGUCCUUACAUGCAUUAAGUCAUUUGAUCUUCACAACAAUUCAUUGAUGUAGGUACUAUCAUUAUCCCCAUUUUACAGAUGAGGAAACUGGCACACAGACAUUAAGUAACUUGUGCAAAGGACACCACAACUAAACCAUACAGUUGGGAUUUGAACCCAACUAGCCUGUUUCCAGAUUCCAUGAUCCUAGCCACUGUACUAUAAUAUCUGCUAUUGAAAAUCAAGAUGAGAAUUAUGGGAUUCAAAGCUUGAUUCCUCCCCUGCUUUCAUUUCUCAGCCAGUUACUACCAUUCCCUUACUCAUCUGUGCAGAAGUAGGUGCAAACACUUCCUGAUACCAUUUCAGAUCUACCUGCUUCUUCAAAUAUCACUGACCUCCUGGGCUCCUGACCACUGCUUUGUAUUCAACUAAUGGUAACUACAACUCCUUAAAUCCCAGCAUACUGAUCUAGAGAACUAACUACUUGGUUCUCUCAGUCUCAUCUCCCACCAGGCACUUCCAGCAAUGUUGCUACCUGUGCCUCUGGGGGACAUGAAAGCCACAUAAAAAAAUUGUAGUUAGGCAAGAAAUCUUAAAAGAUUUAGA